GCUAGCCUAAUGUCUGGCAAGGUGUGUCCAAGAGAAGAGUCUCUUCUGUCUUGUCUUUUCACGAGCCGCGGCAUCAGCAAUUAACGGCCUACAGGACUUAUGGCGUCCGAAUCAGGUGUCAGGUGGACGUAAGGGGCCCUAACCUCGAUUCUGGUUGUCAUGGGGCUGUGAGCACAGACGUGUCCCCUCGCCUGGCGUUAGAUCACACACGGCCGGAGAGCAGAGACACGCCAAACCUCAUCCCCUGCAUCAGCUCCUCACAG